UGGCUCAGAUACGUUAUAGAAAA
rnacentral:snRNA from 1 species